rnacentral:tRNA from 1 species
GGACAGUUAGCUCAGUCAGUUGAGCGUGGCACUAACAACGCUAAGGUCGUAGGUUCGAUUCCCGUUCCUUCCC